GUGUCAGAGCAGGAACAAUGACUACAUCCCAAUUUAUAGCAUCUCCGACUGGGCUGCUAGAUGGGCUUCAUAUACACCAUGCAGAGGGGAAAUGAUCAAACACAGACCAGAUAUAGAAACAUACCCAAUGAGGAGGAAAUGAAGCCGACAAAAAUAUGUUUGCAUCAACUCAAUGAGCUGAACGGCUCUGGACAAGUCUCUAGCUGUGAGCCAUGCAGGAGAGCUGUAUGAGGAAUGGCUGGAGCUCAGGAACGGCUGCCUCUGCUGCUCCGUCAAGUCUAUAAAUGGUCCGGUCAAGAUUCUGGAAACGCUUAAGUCAAGUUUGGCAGAACAGCUACAACUUGUGGAAGCAACAAGACAACAUAUAGACAAGGGAGAAACCUGGACAAAGAGAUCCUACAGGAACAGUUAAUCUCAACAGUACUAAAGGUGGGGGACAGGAACUAAACAAGAACUCCCCCCUCUCUCCUCACAGUGAACUAUUCCAGUUUAUUCCUGAUACACUUCACAUGAGGACCUACCUACUGCAAUUGUGUUAAUCCUCAUAAUCCUGUUGUUCCACUUCAGUCCAGGAGGACCUCAAAACGUUAUGGUAUUUACUGUUAAUGAUGACUACAUGCCAAAUCUGAUAAGCAUCUUAUUGACUACAAUACAGUCAGGUUUUACUGAGCGCCAAUUGUUGAGACUUGGUGUAAUUGGGCCCCUUGCUCACUGCUCAAUUGGGCCAGAUGCUAUGAGGAAACAUUAGAUUAGUGUGUGAGCGGACUUAAUCCAUAAUCAACCAUGUUGGCUAUCUCAUUACCCAGUGAUAUACCCGACCCUCAAUCAAGAUAAAGCGACAACUUGAAAAUAGAGAUGACAUUAGUGUCCUUACUGUCAUUUUCUCUGUAAAUUAUUUUAAACUUUACCUUAUUCAUUUAAGUUUGAGUGUAUUCGUCAACAGUUAGGCUGUGUUUUAGGUCUGUAAAUUGUUGGUGAAGUUAAGGUUUUGUACAGGCUUUUAUCACAUCUCAAAAGUGGUGCAACACAAAAUUAGACUGGUCUGUAAAUGUCCACGCGCGCUUGACUAUUAGCUUGACCUGUGAAUACGUUUGUUUUUAUUUCACAUAUUAUCAUGUAAGGGCUGUUUAAAUUAUUGAAAUAAACAAGAAUCUGAUUUAAAGAUUGGUGUUUACAAUA